rnacentral:tRNA from 1 species
GGUAAGAUGGCCGAGCGGUUAAGGCGUGUGACUCAAGCUUCCGAAACACGAGGCUUCUCUUCUCAUGGGGGAAACCCCGCCAGAGUUCAAAUCUCUGUCUUACCA